CGCGCGCGCGCACCGUCGUUUCUUGGUUUGUUUCGCCAAUCCACAAUAGAAUUGAGUAUCAUGAAGCGAAGAGAGCGUAGUUAGAUGUAUGAUAGGCAUGAGGGACGCUUUCUCAAGACUGAGUUUAUGAAUGGAAGGUGUUGUGGAACCUGGACAUUGUCAAGGUUCAAUUUCUACGGCCGAGUAUGCAAGAAGGAUGGCUGCAAAGAAUGGAGGAGUCUUGCCAAAAGCUGUUGAUAUUUACUGGGAGACACAUUCAAAGGAACGACAAUCAGGCCAAGACGAGCAACUCAUUGGAUCCAAAUGAUGACCCACGUGACCCACGCGAUCCUCUUGGUGGUGGAUUGGGAUUUCCUUGUAGUACUUAGACUUAUA